rnacentral:rRNA from 1 species
CCCGCUAUACAUGCAAGUCGAGCGAAUGGAUUAAGAGCUUGCUCUUAUGAAGUUAGCGGCGGACGGCUGAGUAACACGUGGGUAACCUGCCCAUAAGACUGGGAUAACUCCGGGAAACCGGGGCUAAUACCGGAUAACAUUUUGAACUGCAUGGUUCGAAAUUGAAAGGCGGCUUCGGCUGUCACUUAUGGAUGGACCCGCGUCGCAUUAGCUAGUUGGUGAGGUAACGGCUCACCAAGGCAACGAUGCGUAGCCGACCUGAGAGGGUGAUCGGCCACACUGGGACUGAGACACGGCCCAGACUCCUACGGGAGGCAGCAGUAGGGAAUCUUCCGCAAUGGACGAAAGUCUGACGGAGCAACGCCGCGUGAGUGAUGAAGGCUUUCGGGUCGUAAAACUCUGUUGUUAGGGAAGAACAAGUGCUAGUUGAAUAAGCUGGCACCUUGACGGUACCUAACCAGAAAGCCACGGCUAACUACGUGCCAGCAGCCGCGGUAAUACGUAGGUGGCAAGCGUUAUCCGGAAUUAUUGGGCGUAAAGCGCGCGCAGGUGGUUUCUUAAGUCUGAUGUGAAAGCCCACGGCUCAACCGUGGAGGGUCAUUGGAAACUGGGAGACUUGAGUGCAGAAGAGGAAAGUGGAAUUCCAUGUGUAGCGGUGAAAUGCGUAGAGAUAUGGAGGAACACCAGUGGCGAAGGCGACUUUCUGGUCUGUAACUGACACUGAGGCGCGAAAGCGUGGGGGAGCAAACAGGAUUAGAUACCCUGGUAGUCCACGCCGUAAACCGAUGAGUGCUAAGUGUUGGAAGGUUUCCCGCCUUUUGUGCUGAAGUUAACGCAUUAAGCACUCCGCCUGGGAGUACGGCCGCAAGGCUGAAGCUCAAAGAAAUUGACGGGAGUCCCGCACAACCGCGGAGCGUGUGUUUAAUUCGAAUCACCGGAAAGACUUUACAGUCUUGAUUCCUCUGCAACCGAAAGCAUAGGCUUCUCCUUCGGAGCAAGGACAGGGGGGCAUGGGUUUUCGUCCCUCCCUCCCGGCCG